CAACCUGAAAGCACAAGAACUCAGGCCGAGGUCACGUGCAGCGGAGCACCCCAUUCCCACCCCCACCUCGACCUCGCCGCCUCCGCCCUCCUUCUCUGCCCCCGCGCCGCCUCCCCUGUCCUCUCCCUUCGCGAUGAAGCAACGGCACAGCGCCACCGUGAGGCUAGGCUAGUACGCUCCCAUCGUUCCGCGACCGAUGACGCCGCGGUGCCGCCAGGGCGAGUAUUUCGCGGAGCGCCGGCGCACCACGAGGGCUUUGCUGCGCCGCGACGCGGGCUGGCUGGCUGGGCUCCGGUGUCCACGCCGCGGCUGCUGUCUGUGGCCCGCGAUGCCGCGAGGGUUGGUCAGCCACGCGCCGCUGCUGGUGCUCCGCGUCGCGAACGUUGCCAGGGGGGCCUUGACCCCGCUGAAGCUGCCGCUACCUGGCCGCAGGGGCCGUGCGCUAGAUGCCGGCGCUGCGACGACCCGUGGAGUUGCAGCAUUGCUCGCUCGUGUGCGGCCGCCGAGCUGGCGCCGCCGCGACCGCGAGCGGUGGAUGCCCCCGUGCGCCGUGCGCGUACUAGCCGCUCGACGCGACAAGCCGUCAGCUUUGGGCGCCCCCGUCUCGUUCCUGCUCGCAUAGUCGCAUCGGCACGGCACACCACGUACGGAAUUGUGGGACCACACCAGGUGGUUGAGGCGUUUCCCUGGCUUGUAACACCAUUUUGUGGAUGGCAGGCAUGUCUAGUUUGCACUUCAUCAACUCAUUGUCAGAGCUCUGCCAUGGGACUCCAAAUUUCCAGGAUACCCUUCAUGGAUCACACUCACCACAUGUUCACCAUGGCCUGGGCCCUCACUUCCUAAGCCAAUGCCAUCUGCUAUCGUCACAGACAUUUUUCAAGCUAAUGCAUUCAGACCUUGGUUGCCUGCGCUUACAGCUUCUCACAUGUGAAGGUGCACUACAUUUAAGCAUGCCAGCACAUAUGCCAUGCAAGCCAAGCAUGCCCGGCGAUGUGUUUCUGUGCAAGGCUUCAUCUGUGGCACUGAUAGGCUGCAUCUUCCACUUUUGGAUGGUUACUUCAGCAAUGUCAUCUUGACCGCCACAUCAUUUGUUAAGGCAAGCAAGGUGACCAGUGGUCUAGCAGAUGGGUUGCAGUCAUCCAGGAGGCACUAAGUUUGAUGGAUAAUGACUAUUGCCGCUUAACAUUGGACUACCUGGGGUUGAACCGGAGUUUUCAGCAUUGAUAGAUGGAGCUCACACCUACCAAUUCCCAAACCUUGGGCUCACGAGUUGGGUGUGGCCUCUGGUCAUGGGCACAAUCACAUGCGGCGGCCUGAGGUUUCUUAUCGCAGGUCCAAAUGGCAAUGUGCAGGCUGAACACAUGAAGAUGGUCCAGAAGAUGAUAUUUGAGUUGUAAAUGGAGUGCUUUACUUAGGAUUGUAAUAGGACAAGAAAGCUUCAGGGCGUAGCUGGUUUCUCCCUGGUGAAACUUCUGAAUCUUUAGAGCAAACCCAGUUAGUGUUAGUCUCAAAUCUUGUAGAGUGAGUUUAGGGUCCACCAUUUUAUGGGAAUAUGUAACAAUUACCAGUAAUUAGUUGUAUUUAGAAAGGGGGGAGACAAUGCAGAAAGGGUUUACAAAGUUACAUUCUGCGAAGAAACUUGAAGGGAAAUCAUUGCAGCCAAGUGAGCCAACAUGCAGGGCAGAUUGGUCUGGUGUGCUUGUGCUUCUCUUCUCCCUGGAGUUAUGGAGUACAAUCUGUCAUCAUGGCUUGAGUCAGGAUGGAGCUGCUAGUGAAUACUCAGAUUGAACGGGCAGCUAUUAUAACCUAAAGGAAGGUCCUCCGGAGUCCAGACGUCUACUAUCUGUGUGGUGGGGGCAGCUGCGGUCUCUUGACUCAGAAAUGCUCCUUGCGGUGUACGCCUGUCCUGUUUCAACUUUCAAGGCUACUUACUGUACUAUUUUGCGGAGUGCGGCCGACAUGUGGGGCGCUGCAGACGCCGAGGCUGAUACGCUCUAUUGGAAACCUGAAAGCACAAGAGGUCUGAAGCAGCCCGAGGCCACUGCAGGGGAGUGCACCCACCACACCCAUUCCCGCCCGGCCACCCCCACCUCACCGCCGGCGCUGCGAUGACCCGUGAAGGUGCAACAUCGCUCCUCGAUCGACUCGUGUUGCCGGCGGCACCGCGAGCGGUGGGCGGGCGCCCCCAUUUGUGCACUAGCUGCUCGACGCGACGAGAGUGCCGAUGCCAAACCGUCAGCUUGGGCGCCCGUGUGCCUCCACUGCUCCCGGCCGUGUCUCGUUCUUGCUCGCAUCGCAUCGGCGCACCACGUAUAGAAUCGUGGGACCACACCAGCCACACGCCGCCGCGGGUCCUCCGUCUCUCGAGCGUUGCUGGGGGCCUUUGACCCCGCAGAAGCUGCCGCUACCUGGCCGCCGGUGCUGCGACAGCCCGUGAAGGUGCAACAUUGCCCACGUCGACUCGUAUGCAGCUGUCGUGCUGGCGUCGCCGCGAGCGGUGGUCUGGCGCCCCUCGUGCGCGCACUAGCCGCUCGACGCGACGAGUGCCAAUGCCAAGCCAUCAGCUUUGGCGCUCGUGUGCCCGAUGCCCCCGCUGCGUCUCAUUCCUACUCGCAUCGGUGCACCAUGUGCUGAAUCGUGGGACCACACCAGGAUAUCAAGCUUCGCUAUGCAUGGCACUUGCUGUACCUGUGACACUAAAGACUACUGAGGAGGGUGGGAAUGAAAGAUUUGAUUACGCGGUGUCAGCUAUGCAAGGAUACCGUCCAAAUAUGGAGGAUGCUCAUGCAAUUGUCUUAAAUCUUGAUGCUGCAACUGGCACAUCAUUCUUUGGUGUUUAUGAUGGCCAGGGAGGACCUGCUGUUUCAAAGUAUUGUGCGAGACACUUACACACAGAGCUUCUCAGACAUGAAAGUUUCCGUGAUAAUCUCCAAACUGCAAUUGAGAGAACGUUCUUAAGGAUGGAUGAGAUGAUGAAAGACAGGAGUGCAGGGUGGGAAUUAUCUGGGUAUGGUGGUAAUGACAAUUGGAAAGCAUAUAGAAAGGCUCUGCGCUGGAGUCUACUUCUACCCUUCUUCUGUCAGAAGCCUGCCUAUCCGGGGCCAGAAAAUGAUGGAUGUACUGUGUGUGUGGUUCUCAUUAGAGGCAACCAAAUCAUUGUGGGAAAUGCUGGUGAUUCUCGCUGUGUACUCUCAAGGAAUAAUGUGGCGGUUAAUCUAUCCACAGACUUUAAACCAAGCCUUCCAGCUACAGGACAUGCGGUAACUUUUAGUGAGAGGAAAUGCCAUCGUGUUGAUGAUGGAAUUGCAAUUGCAAUAUCACUUGGUGACCUGCUGUACAAGGAUAACAAGGAUUUAUGUCCCCAACAACAAGCAAUUACUGCCUUUCCUGAAGAGUUAACUCAAGAUGACCAGUUUCUUAUCAUAGCAUGUAAUGGAAUCUGGGAUUGCCAAACAAGGCACCAAGCUGUUGAUUUUAUAAGGACACAAUCAAAUACACAGGUUGCGUAUGGGAUGCUGAAACAUGGAGCCCAAAUUGCGAAGUUUGCCGACAAGAUACGUAAUACUGUCACAUUUGUACUUGAUGGAAGUAAUUAUGAUGUAUGGGAACAAUACAUGAUGGUGAUGGCUCACUUAAGAUUUUGAUAUGGACCAAGAUCAGUAAAUCUCAUUAUUGAUGGUAGGGCAGCUUGGCUCUAUGGAGCAGCAGGAGCCAAUGCAAUUGUCCAGUUUGAGCGUAAGAAUCAUACCCUUUAUAUACAGCAUGAAUAUUCAAUUUCACUGAAUGGAGAGGGCAAGUAUUCCCAAGUCGCCAAAAAAGGGAUCGGAAACAUCCCUAUCGGGAUAGAUGCUCUAAGAACACUAUGUUCUGUAUUAUCAGAAGUCGAUGAAAAUAGUGAUCUUGAUCAAAUUGAUGAGCAACUUGGAGUUGCAGUUGCUCACAUUAUGGAACCAUUGAAGAUCCAUAAGGCAUAUGAAGCAGUGAGUGGGGCAUUAUUCUCAGGUGAAAGUACUACUUUCGACGAGAAAGAUCCAAUUAUCAAAUUGCUGGUCAAGGUUUGGGGAAAAGCUGGUGUAAGUCUGGGAAAGUAUGUUUUUGCGAAUUUUUGCAAUAAAUCCCAGCCUUUGCACCUCAAUGAAAGGCUGAAUGCUGCAGGCAUAAAAGGCCUUGAAGAUAUUUUAGAAAACAUGUUUAUUAUGCCUCGAUCAUUCAUACCGCCGGAUUAUGUUGACAAGGAACCUUCAAUGGUUAAUUCGACCUGGGAACCUGUUGAUCCAGGAAGUGGCGAUCCUAGAGUGAUACCCCUUGAGAACCUGUACAGAAGGAUACAGGAACAAAGAGAGCAGACUAUGAAAGACAAUAAGUUUAUCCAAGACAGGAUGAAAUAUUUUGGAGACAGGUUGGGUGGGAAACCUUGUGCUCAGGCUGUAUCAUUUGUGAAGUCAGCAACCACAAGUAGUGUGUUGUCAUGGAAAGCAUCUCUGCCACUGCCAGUGAAAGGCAAUCAUAUCUUAAAUGCUGUUCAAAUAGCGAAGAAAUACUCUAGAUUCUUCAAAUAGAAAGUACAAGCUAUCUGUAGAAGAUCAGAGGUGAUGACUCUGGAGGCAAUGAAGAUAUAGGAGUGCGCUGAAGGAUGUUGUGAAAAAGGCGUGGAAGUGUGGAGUGUUCGACAUCUUGUUUGAAUUCAUCACAUGCAAGAGCUUGCUUAUAUACUCAUGUGCUGGUAUCUGACAGGAGCUGAGGACUUUUUUUUCUUUUUUCUUUUUGCUUGUUUUUCCGUUGAGAAAUUGUUCCGUAUGCUGGAUUAAUAUGUUCUUCAGACCUCAGUUCGCUAGGUUCUUCAAAAAUGCAAUAAAGAAAGAGGAGCCCAUAGAUCUAGGAGUGUUGCUAUCA